rnacentral:rRNA from 1 species
AUCGAACGCUGGCGGCAGGCCUAACACAUGCAAGUCGAGCGAGCGGCGGACUGGUGAGUAAUGUCUUGGAAACUGCCUGAUGGAGGGGGAUAACUACUGGAAACGGUAGCUAAUACCGCAUACCAUCAGAUGUGCCCAGAUGGAAUUAGCUGGUAGGUGGGGUAAUGGCUCACCUAGGCGACGAUCCCUAGCUGGUCUGAGAGGAUGACCGGCCACACUGUAACUGAGACACGGUCCAGACUCCUACGGGAGGCAGCAGUGGGAAAUAUUGGACAAUGGGCGCAGGCCGGAUGCAGCCAGGCCGCGGGUGUGAAGAAGGCCUUCGGGGUGUAAAGCACUUUCAGCGGGGAGGCGUUACCCGCAGAAGAAGCACCGGCUAACUCCGUGCCAGCCGCCGCGGUAAUAC